UACGUAGGGUGCGAGCGUUGCCCGGAUUUAUUGGGCGUAAAGGGCGCGCAGGCGGCUACGCACGUCCGUUGUGAAAUCGCUCGGCUCAACUGGGCGGGGUCAGCGGAUACGGCGUAGCUGGAGCAAGCUAGGGGGCAAUGGAAUUCCCGGUGUAGUGGUGGAAUGCGUAGAUAUCGGGAGGAACACCAGUGGCGAAGGCGGUUGCCUGGAGCUUUGCUGACGCUGAGGGACGAAAGCUAGGGGAGCGAACGGG
rnacentral:rRNA from 1 species